UGGUUGUCACCCAAGAGAGGAUUA
rnacentral:piRNA from 1 species